CACGUAGGGCGCAAGCGUUGUCCGGAAUUAUUGGGCGUAAAGGGCUCGUAGGCGGUUUGUCGCGUCGGGAGUGAAAACACCGGGCUUAACUCGGUGCUUGCUUUCGAUACGGGCAGACUAGAGGUAUGCAGGGGAGAACGGAAUUCCUGGUGUAGCGGUGAAAUGCGCAGAUAUCAGGAGGAACACCGGUGGCGAAGGCGGUUCUCUGGGCAUUACCUGACGCUGAGGAGCGAAAGUGUGGGGAGCGAACAGG
rnacentral:rRNA from 1 species